UCUUAUCCAGAGAGAUCGAGGGGCAGGCCCUAUGACAUCUCGGCAGCGGGUUCAUUACACAUGAACACUGUGCCAAUUCCUGCAAAUGCAUAAUGCAUUUGGAAGAUGAGA
rnacentral:ncRNA from 1 species